CACGUAGGGGGCAAGCGUUGUCCGGAUUUAUUGGGCGUAAAGAGCUCGUAGGCGGUUCGAUAAGUCGGGUGUGAAACCUCCAGGCUCAACCUGGAGACGCCACUCGAUACUGUCGUGACUAGAGUCCAGUAGGGGAGCGUGGAAUUCCUGGUGUAGCGGUGAAAUGCGCAGAUAUCAGGAGGAACACCGGUGGCGAAGGCGGAUCUCUGGGCCGAUACUGACGCUGAGGAGCGAAAGCGUGGGGAGCGAACAGG
rnacentral:rRNA from 1 species